rnacentral:lncRNA from 1 species
CAUAUGGAGGUUGGCAGGCUAGGGGUCUAAUCAGAGCUGUUACUGCUGGCCUUCACCAGAGCCACAGCAAUGCCAGAUCCAAGAGCCAAGUCUGCGACCUACACCACAGCUCAUGGCAAUGCCGGAUCCUUAACCCACUGAGUGAGGCCAGGAAUCAAAGCCGCAACCUCAUGGUUCCUAGUUGGAUUCGUUUCCGCUGCAUCACAAUGGGAACUCCCUGAUUAAAUUUGUGACUCCACUAGCAUAAGACACUCUUGGAGACACCUACUUCCUUGACAAUUUGCUCCUGCGGUCCUCAGUGGAAUCUCAGGCCUUGCCUAGCCUGCACCUAUCUCUCUGCACCUAUGGUGCCAUUUCAAGAUCUUCCUUGCUUUUUCAAAUGCUCCACUGUUUAGAGAGAAUUUCACUGGAGAAUUUGGUGAAAAUGUACUGAAAACUUCAGAAUUGGCUGGGAAGUAGGCCUCUACAGCUCUCCAUCUUAACAAGAACAAACACCACGGUCCUAAGAGCCUUCUCUAAACAAGCAUCAAUGAAAGUCACAUCCAUCAAACAGUAGAGCCUUUCCCAAGGGAGUUCUGAGUCACAUUGUUAUGGCCCACCUCAUGUCCACCACGGGUGCCCAUGGGACAUUAAGUAGUCUUGGAGAGAGAAAUGAUGCUCAAGGCAGCAAAGAAAAGACAUAAGGGUCUACAAAAGCCCUAGCAGCCUGCAGCCCUAAAACAAACCAUGAGAGUACGUGAAACAUUUUUCAUUGAUGGGUCCUAUAAAUAUUUCUGAGAACCAGUUAUAAUGACAGCUCCAUUAUCCCAAGAUCUAAGAGGCUGGUUCCAACUCAAUGACCACAGACUUCAAAGAGGAGCCACCAACAGCACGAUAGGGGCUUGGGAUGAAGGGCUAUUGAUGCUCUCUGAAGCCGAGAAACAAAUGACAAAUAGGUGCUUCAUAAAACUGCUUUGGAGAUGCCACGGCUGACAAGAUUGUCAUGGGUGGGACAAGGGACUCAGCAAUCAAUCCCAAUGAAGCUGUAGCUAUUUUCCUUUUUGAAAGCACUUCUUUCAUCAAAACAGAAACCACAUGACUUUUGCUCCAUCUGAAGGAAGAGGAAAUCAACUUUGACCUGAUUAUUCACAGAAAAGCCAUGGGUAUAAUGAUCACCUAAGUAGACCUUGGGUGAAGGAGUCAAGGGCAAGACUGAGAGGGGAGAAGAGGCAAACCCUUGAGAUGGCUGCAAGAAUCGCACCACUCACAAAGCUAAGAGACCUUCUAUCGAAGGUCUCAGCAGAGGGUUCUGUAAGUGUGAUUUGUGCAUUGCUAAUAAAAUAACCUAAAAAGAGGAGGGUAAACACCCAUCGCAACCCCACAUUCCCCACCUGUGGGGAGGGGGAAAUUAUGUCGAAUUACUAGGCAAAACAAGUGGUGCUGUAACUACCUGUCUCUAAUACAAACGACUCAGUUGACAUUUCUACUCCUGCUUCUACUAUGUAACAGGGCGAUAGACCUUCUGUACUAGGAAACACACUGACUUGGAAACAGGAUGGACCUGGGCCAGAAGCAUGGUUAUAACCCUUCUUCAGCUGAAUGACCAUGGGCAAGUUACUUCUCUCUUGACGACUCAGUAUUCUUCAUCUUUAAAAUAGGGAUAAGCCACCCAUUAGGGUUUUUCGAGACAAAACACCAACAUGAAUGUAAGAGGCCCUAGCAUCUUGUCCCAAUAGAUUAUUUAAAAUAAAUCACAAUCUAUCACAUCACAUGUUACAGAGGCACAGCCCAGAGAGCAAAAUAGCUGUGCUAUAUUUAACACUGGAGUUCCUGUCGUGGUGCAGUGGUUAACGAAUCCGACUAGGAACCAUGAGGUUGUGGGUUCAGAGGGUUGACGAUCCGGCGUUGCCGUGAGCUGUGGUGUAGGUUGCAGACGCAGCUCAGAUC